GACAGAGGGUGCAAACGUUGCUCGGAUUUACUGGGCGUAAAGCGCGUGUAGGCGGGCGGCUAAGUCGGAUGUGAAAUCCCUGGGCUCAACCUAGGAACUGCAUUCGAAACUGGUCACCUAGAGUGAUGGAGAGGAAAGCGGAAUUCCCGGUGUAGAGGUGAAAUUCGUAGAUAUCGAGAGGAACACCGGUGGCGAAGGCGGCUUUCUGGACGGCGACUGACGCUGAGACGCGAAAGCGUGGGGAGCAAACAGG
rnacentral:rRNA from 1 species